rnacentral:rRNA from 1 species
GGGCCCGCACAAGCGGAGGAACAUGUGGUUUAAUUCGAUGAUACGCGAGGAACCUUACCCGGGCUUGAAAUGUACCCGCAUAAUCCGGAAACGGAUUAGCCAGCAAUGGCGGGUAUGUAGGUGCUGCAUGGUUGUCGUCAGCUCGUGCCGUGAGGUGUCGGGUCAAGUCCCAUAACGAGCGCAACCCUUACCGCCAGUUACCAGUAUUCAGGAUGGGGACUCUGGCGGGACUGCCACCGUAAGGUGUGAGGAAGGCGGGGAUGACGUCAAAUCAGCACGGCCCUUAUGUCCGGGGCUACACACGUGUUACAAUGGCCGAUACAGCGGGCAGCUACUGCGCGAGCAGAUGCCAAUCCCCAAAGUCGGUCCCAGUUCGGAUCGAAGUCUGCAACCCGACUUCGUGAAGCUGGAUUCGCUAGUAAUCGCGCAUCAGCCAUGGCG